AGUUGGUAUCUGAUGUUUAGGUGUCAGCAGCUGAGUUUGAAAAGAGACUUGGUUGUUUAUUUGCUCCAUUGUUUUAUCCUAUUAAUCACAUGCUUCAGGACUUUUGUUUCCAGUCUGUGGAGGGGACACGAGGACUGCCAGUUUAUUGCUUGGAAGCUGCAGACUGAGUGCUUUGGUAAUCACAUCUUCUUAAAAGUUUCUAUUCUGUCCUCCUUUUAUGAUUUCGUGUUGGAAAAUGCUGUGUAAAACCAUUCUUCAAAGGAAACCACAGCAGUGCUGGACAAAAUAUUUUUUUAGCAAGUGCUGAAUUCACCAAAACAAAAUUGUUCCAGGGAACUGGAGGAACUGACGACAGCUCUUGACCAUAUUCAGUGAACGGUUAUGAAAACACAUAUUUG
rnacentral:lncRNA from 1 species